UACGUAGGGUGCAAGCGUUAAUCGGAAUUACUGGGCGUAAAGCGUGCGCAGGCGGUUUUGUAAGUCUGACGUGAAAUCCCCGGGCUCAACCUGGGAAUUGCGUUGGAGACUGCAAGGCUGGAGUCUGGCAGAGGGGGGUAGAAUUCCACGUGUAGCAGUGAAAUGCGUAGAGAUGUGGAGGAACACCGAUGGCGAAUGCAGCCCCCUGGGUCAAGACUGACGCUCAUGCACGAAAGCGUGGGGAGCAAACAGG
rnacentral:rRNA from 1 species